UUCAAACAACCCUAUGAAGAGGUCCACGUGGUUAAGAACUGAGACUUCCUGCCAACAACCAUGUUAAGCCUCGCACUAAGAUAUAACACUCAGUGCUUUUCAAAAGAAUGUGACAAGAUGUGAUGAGCACACAACUAUUCUGAGUUGUUGUCUACACAGUUUAAAAGAUGAUUACCCUAUUCACACCGAGUCUGGGUGCGUUGAAACUGUGCCUCAGUCAAGAGACCUUACGGUUUUCACCUUGCCCAAGUAGGAACUUGGAGGCUGAAGAGCUACCUGCCCAUUCCAUGUGGAUGAAUUGUGCCUCCCCAGUCAGCAGGUCUUAAUCUACAUCAAUUUAAUAUUGGCUGUUCCAAGCAUUUCUUAAAUAAUUCUCCAAGGUUCCUUUGUGGUCCUCCAGCCUGUUUAUCCUGCUUGUUUUUCUGUCAAGUCAUGAGGCUUCAAACAGCACGAAACACGAAUACAAUGUCUAACCUUCUCUGGCUCUCCUUCAUGCCUGGAUAUAAUGACCUUACUACUGAUGGAAAGAUUAUCUUGGGAAAUGUUGGCCCAAACUAAACCCUUUCUCCAAACAUCUGGUCUAAUUUCCUUCUGCUGGGCAAACAGACACCCUGGCUGAGUUCCAGCGCAGGCCCAUGCCUUUGGUCUAGAACUGUUUCAGAUUCGGCUACUGAUGUGUCCAUGAAGGAAAAGGCCCCGGAAAACAACCACUCUGCUUCAUGGGAAUUGCCAGUUGUAAAUGAGUGUACUGGGCAAUCAAGAUGUAUUUGUUGAAGUCAGACAUAGAAGAUUGUCAGCAUUUCUCAUGCAAAGAAUUAGGAAGAGAAUAAAAUAAAAUAAUGCUAGGACACCUUGGAACAAGAAGAGUUUCCCUUUGGUAUAUCUGGGUCAUUCACAGGAAUUCCCUAUGGUUAUUGCCUGAUGUGGUGCCUCAUUCUCUAGCAGGCAAACCCUGGGAAACUCCUUUUGAGGAUUCUUCUAUUGGUAUUCCUAUCAGUUUCCUUUUUUAUUUUUUUUGAAAAUGGAGA